rnacentral:rRNA from 1 species
UAGGGAAUCUUCGGCAAUGGACGACAGUCUGACCGAGCAACGCCGCGUGAGUGAAGAAGGUUUUCGGAUCGUAAAACUCUGUUGUUAGAGAAGAACAAGGAUGAGAGUAGAAUGUUCAUCCCUUGACGGUAUCUAACCAGAAAGCCACGGCUAACUACGUGCCAGCAGCCGCGGUAAUACGUAGGUGGCAAGCGUUGUCCGGAUUUAUUGGGCGUAAAGCGAGCGCAGGCGGUUUCUUAAGUCUGAUGUGAAAGCCCCCGGCUCAACCGGGGAGGGUCAUUGGAAACUGGGAAAGUUGAGUGCAGAAGAGGAGAGUGGAAUUCCAUGUGUAGCGGUGAAAGUCGUAGAUAUAUGGAGGAACACCAGUGGCGAAGGCGGCUCUCUGGUCUGUAAAUGACGCUGAGGCUCGAAAGCGUGGGGAGCAAACAGG